GAUGAACGCUAGCUACAGGCUUAACACAUGCAAGUCGAGGGGCAGCAUUUUUAUUAGCAAUAAUAAAAGAAUGGCGACCGGCGCACGGUGAGUAACACGUAUCCAACCUGCCGAUAACUCGGGGAGUAACCCUUCCGAAGAAGGCCUAAUACCCGACUGGCAUAUCCCUUCCGCCUGGUUGGGGAUAUUAAAGAACUUCGGUUAUCGAUGGGGAGUGCGUUCCAUUAGCUUGUUGGCGGGGUAACGGCCCACCAAGG
rnacentral:rRNA from 1 species